AGGUGUAACGUCACGCAUCAGACCUCUGAUCAGGGAAGACUACCCGCUGAGUUUAAGCAUAU
rnacentral:rRNA from 1 species